rnacentral:rRNA from 1 species
UACGUAGGGGGCUAGCGUUGUCCGGAUUUAUUGGGCGUAAAGAGCGUGUAGGCGGCUUUACAGGUCCGUUGUGAAAACUCGAGGCUCAACCUCGAGACGCCGGUGGAAACCGUAAGGCUAGAGUCCGGAAGAGGGGAGUGGAAUUCCUGGUGUAGCGGUGAAAUGCGCAGAUAUCAGGAAGAACACCCGUGGCGAAGGCGGCUCUCUGGGACGGUACUGACGCUGAGACGCGAAAGCGUGGGGAGCGAACAGG